AUUGAACGCUGGCGGCAGGCCUAACACAUGCAAGUCGAGCGGAUGAAGGGAGCUUGCUCCUGGAUUCAGCGGCGGACGGGUGAGUAAUGCCUAGGAAUCUGCCUGGUAGUGGGGGAUAACGUCCGGAAACGGGCGCUAAUACCGCAUACGUCCUGAGGGAGAAAGUGGGGGAUCUUCGGACCUCACGCUAUCAGAUGAGCCUAGGUCGGAUUAGCUAGUUGGUGGGAUAAAUGCCUACCAAGGCGACGAUCCGUAACUGGUCUGAGAGGAUGAUCAGUCACACUGGAACUGAGACACGGUCCAGACUCCUACGGGAGGCAGCAGUGGGGAAUAUUGGACGAUGGGCGAAAGCCUGAUCCAGACCUGCCGCGUGUGUGAAGAAGGUCUUCGGAUUGUAAAGCACUUUAAGUUGGGAGGAAGGGCAGUAAGUUAAUACCUUGCUGUUUUGACGUUACCAAAAGAAUAAGCACCGGCUAACUUCGUG
rnacentral:rRNA from 1 species